rnacentral:piRNA from 1 species
UAUCUUUGAGUGCACUCGGCCUUUUCCACGU